rnacentral:rRNA from 1 species
GACGAACGCUGGCGGCGUGCUUAACACAUGCAAGUCGAACGCUGAAGCUCAGCUUUUGUUGGGUGGAUGAGUGGCGAACGGGUGAGUAACACGUGAGUGACCUGCCCCCUUCUUUGGGAUAACGCCCGGAAACGGGUGCUAAUACUGGAUAUUCACUGGUCUUCGCAUGGGGGUUGGUGGAAAGGGUUUUUCUGGUGGGGGAUGGGCUCGCGGCCUAUCAGCUUGUUGGUGGGGUGAUGGCCUACCAAGGCUUUGACGGGUAGCCGGCCUGAGAGGGUGACCGGUCACAUUGGGACUGAGAUACGGCCCAGACUCCUACGGGAGGCAGCAGUGGGGAAUAUUGCACAAUGGGCGCAAGCCUGAUGCAGCGACGCCGCGUGAGGGAUGGAGGCCUCCGGGUUGUGAACCUCUUUCGCUCAUGGUCAAGCCGCAACAAUGGUUGUGGUGAGGGUAGUGGGUAAAGAAGCGCCGGCUAACUACGUG